rnacentral:piRNA from 1 species
UGGUCCAGUGACGGUUGAUGCUGAUGC